UUAAUAUUAAAUUUAUUAUAAAAUUUUUUAUUAUAAUUUUAAUUAAAAUAAUAUUUGUAUAUUAGUAUAGUUUAUAAAAAAUAUUUUAAUUAAUGAUAGUUUAAAGUACUGUAAAGGGUUAUUUUAAAAUUUUCUAAAAGUAUGAUUAUUAUAUUCAGUACCUUUUGUAUCAGGGUUUAUUAAUUUUAAAAUAAUUAAUUUAUUUUUCCCGAAAUUAAAAGAGAUAAAAUUAAAUGUAAUUUUAUGUUAUAUAAUAAUUUAUUAUUUAAUUUUAGUGAUUAUAUGUUAUUCAAUUUUAAAUAUCUGGUUAUCUUAGAAUUAAAUUUAAUUUAGAAAUUUUAUUAGUUAAAUUAAAUUUUAAUUUAAUUUUAAUUUAAAAUUUUAAGAUUAUUAGGGAUUAGCUUAAUAAUUAUAUAUAAUAUUUAAUUUAUUUAAUUAAUGUAGGUUUAAAAAUAUCCAUCUUUUAUUUUGUUAUAAUUAAUUUUAUUAAUUAUAUUUAUUUAAUAAGUAUUUAUAUUUAUAUUUGAUAAUAUGAUUUAACUUAAUUUUUUUAGAUUUAAUGGUAAAAUUAGUAGAUUUUUAAUUUAGAUUUAGGAACUAGGCAAAUAUUACUUUCGCCUGUUUAACAAAAACAUGUCUUAUAGAAUUUAAUUUUAAGUCUGACCUGCUCAAUGAUUUAUUAAAUUGCUAUAGUAUUUUAACUAUACAAAGGUAGCAUAAUAAUUUGUCUUUUAAUUGGAGGCUUGUAUGAAUGGUUGGACGAGAAGUAAACUUUCUUAAUUUAAAUUAAAUUGAAUUUAAUAUUUAUGUAAAAAAGCUUAAAUAUAAUUGUGGGACGAGAAGACCCUUUAGAAUUUUAAUUGAAUUAGUAAUUUUUUAUUUUAGAAAUUGUUUGUAAUAUUUUAUUAAUUUAAUUUUUGUUGGGGUGACAGUAAAAAUUUUUUAACUUUUAUUAUUAAAUUAAUCAUAAAUUAGUGUAUUAUUGAUCCUUUAUAUAAAGAUUAUAAGAUUAAAUUACCUUAGGGAUAACAGCGUAAUUAUUUUGGAGAGUUCUUAUCGAUAAAAUAGUUUGCGACCUCGAUGUUGGAUUAAAGUUAGAUUUAUAGUGCAGCUGCUUAAAUUUCUAGGUCUGUUCGACCUUUAAACCUUUACAUGAUCUGAGUUCAGACCGGCGUAAGCCAGGUUGGUUUCUAUCUACAAUAUUUUAUAGUAAUAUAGUACGAAAGGACCUUUUACUUUUAAUAAUUAAUAAUGAUUGAUUAUUAAUA
rnacentral:rRNA from 1 species